AUGUCAGAGAAGGACGAGAAGAUCAAAUCAUUAGUAGACAUGGGCUUUUCUGAAGAUGGAGCAAAUAUGGCUAUUACAAGAUGUGGUGUGGAUGUUGAUUUAUGGGAAUUAGUUGAUUCGAUAAGUGCACCACAAAUGACAGAAGAUAGUCAUUCCAGAAACAUAUCUGACCAUCAGGUCACAGAUCAGUGCUUUGAUUCAUUUGGAGGGGGAAAGAAAGCAAGAUUGAUGGAAGAGAGCAAGAAAAAGAGGAACCGAUAUGGAGGUAGAGCACAGGGAAAUCAACCCUCCUUGGAUGGUAGCCAUGAUGAACCAAUGCCUCUCCCAAAUCCAAUGAUUGGUUUUAAUUUGCCAGGUUAUUUGCAACCAUCAGUUACCCGAAUACUUCCUAAACAAGAUACUGGACCACCCUUUUUCUACUAUGAAAAUGUGGCCCAAGCUCCUAAAGGCGUAUGGGCAACCAUUUCAAGAUUUCUUUAUGACAUUCAACCUGAGUUUGUGGAUUCUAAGCAUUUGUGUGCAACCGCAAGGAAAAGAGGCUACAUCCAUAAUUUGCCAAUUGAGAAUAGAUCACCUCUUCUUCCUAUGCCUCCAAAGACCAUAUUUGAGGCAUUCCCUCAUUACAAGAAGUGGUGGCCUUCAUGGGACCUGAGAACACAGCUCAAUUGCUUGCGGACAAAUAUUGCAAGUGCGAAGCUGACAGAACGGAUCGGCCGUGCUCUUGCAAGCUCUGACAGUCCACCGGCUCGAAGUGUUCAAAAAUAUGUCAUGAAUGAGUGUAGAAAAGGAAAUCUUGUCUGGAUUGGAAAGAACAAGGUUGCUCCAUUGGAGCCUGAAGAGAUGGAAUAUCUACUCGGUUUCCCAAAGGAUCACACAAGGGGACUCGGCAUCACGGAGAGAUACAAGUCUCUCGGCAACACAUUUCAAGUUGAUACAGUUGCUUACCACUUGUCAGUUUUGAAGGUCAUGUUUCCCAAUGGUGUUAAUGUGUUGUCCUUAUUCACCGGUAUUGGAGGAGGAGAGGUAGCUUUGCACAGGCUGGGCAUCCACAUGAAGGCAGUGGUUUCUGUAGAGAUAGGAAAAGCUAAUAAGAGGAUUUUUAGGGGUUGGUGGGAUCAGACUCAGACAGGCACACUCAUUGAGAUUGAUGAUGUGAAAUCUCUUACUGAUGAUACAAUUGUAUCAUUUGUUAGUAGGUUUGGCGGCUUCGACUUGGUGAUUGGGGGCAGCCCAUGUAACAAUCUUGCUGGGUGCAACAGAUACAACCGUGAUGGCUUGGAGGGCGAGCAAUCUGCUUUGUUCUACCACUACUUCAGAAUCUUGAAUGCGGUCAAGUCAGCUAUGGCGAGGAUCUAG
rnacentral:rRNA from 1 species